rnacentral:rRNA from 1 species
UACAGAGGUCUCAAGCGUUGUUCGGAUUCAUUGGGCGUAAAGGGUGCGUAGGCGGCGCGGUAAGUCGGGUGUGAAAUCUCGGAGCUUAACUCCGAAACUGCAUUCGAUACUGCCGUGCUUGAGGACUGGAGAGGAGACUGGAAUUUACGGUGUAGCGGUGAAAUGCGUAGAUAUCGUAAGGAAGACCAGUGGCGAAGGCGGUUACCUGGACAAUUACUGACGCUCAGGCACGAAAGCGUGGGGAGCAAAAGGG